AGUGAACGCUGGCGGUAGGCCUAACACAUGCAAGUCGAACGGCAGCACAGUAAGAGCUUGCUCUUACGGGUGGCGAGUGGCGGACGAGUGAGGAAUACAUCGGAAUCUACUUUUUCGUGGGGGAUAACGUAGGGAAACUUACGCUAAUACCGCAUACGACCUACGGGUGAAAGCAGAGGAUCUUCGGACCUUGCGCGAUUGAAUGAGCCGAUGUCGGAUUAGCUAGUUGGCGGGGUAAAGGCCCACCAAGGCGACGAUCCGUAGCUGGUCUGAGAGGAUGAUCAGCCACACUGGAACUGAGACACGGUCCAGACUCCUACGGGAGGCAGCAGUGGGGAAUAUUGGACAAUGGGCGCAAGCCUGAUCCAGCCAUACCGCGUGGGUGAAGAAGGCCUUCGGGUUGUAAAGCCCUUUUGUUGGGAAAGAAAAGCAGCAGGUUAAUACCCCGCUGUUCUGACGGUACCCAAAGAAUAAGCACCGGCUAACUUCGUG
rnacentral:rRNA from 1 species